GCGAGGUGUCCCGCGUGGUUUGGCAAGUGCCGGCGAUGCGCAAAAGCGCGCUUUCAGUUUAUGCAGUCGCAGCAACGUGAACGUCAGCCUAUAAGCAAGGCAAGAACAUCGGAAGACGCGUGAGAAUUUCUCACCGGAGAGCUCUUGUUACUGUCUGGCGUCGUAGCUGCGAAUGAAAACUACCUGCCAAAACUUGCAAACCGGCAUGGUCGUCCUGCACAGCGCCUCGUCCGAAGCGAUCCAGAGUGAUCUGCUUCUGGAUGACCAACAGGAACAGCUGGCAGCUGACCACCUUCGACAACACUUUGAGAGGCUGUUGCGAGGGAAAAUGAAAACAAAAGCUUUCCAUUCAAAAUUCUUCCCUGCGUGUGAUAAACGCAACGGCAAGCAUAUGGUGCAAUUCCACUGUCAUCCGUAUGGUGUGGUGGGCACGAAGGACAGGGACAUUGGAUGAGAUCUGCUUCUGGCUGAUUGAAAACAACUGCUGGGUACUGAUUGCUGCCUGUGACACAUUCCGAGCUGGUGCUGAGGAGCAGCUGCGCACUCACAUGAGCCACCUGAAUGCCCUGCACUCACCUCAGAAGCACUGCGGCAAGCAUAUGGUGUAACUGUAGGAGAAGGGUUACGGAAGGGAUGCUGCAGGCAUUGCCAUGGAGGCCAUCAACUAUGGUUGGUGCUGCGAUCUCAAUGACCUACAUCACAAGCGAGACCAUUGUUUCUGUGGGCACGGGGCCAACCUACGUCGACUUGAAAACGAUCAACGCCAAGGCAGUGGGGCAUGCACUCAUUAAGUAGACGGCACUGGUGAAGCUUGGCAGCCUUUCUUCCCUGACCUGGCUACCCUUUCCAGCUUUUCCUUCUUGAGAUAGUAGCAGUUUUGUUGAGAGUACCACAUUUUCCUUCAUUUUGUUAGGGAAAGAAGCCUUGUUAUGUCAAGAUUUUUCGUGGUGUUUUUGUGUUUACACGUAAAUUUUGAACAACCGGAAGGAUCAUUGUUUUUUUAAAACAAUGUUUUCGAUAGUUACUUAUGCUACACAUGUGUUAAUUUUGUUACAUUCCUUUGAUAAUACGCUUAGUCGUUCCAUCAUUUGUUGAGGAAUUCACACCUAUUGCGCUAAGCUUCCAUUUAUGUGGGCAACUGUGAGCUCUGUCUACUAAACUUGGCCACCUAAAUUUGUUUGUUAUGGGCUUUCACGUCAUUUUCUCGUGCUUUUUGCUCAACACUAAAAAAAUAAUUAUAUAUGAUUAUUUGUACAGCGUUUGUUCUUAGCUUUCUACCUUUUAUCUAUAAACAUUUUUUGUCUGUUUGAUGUUUAAUUUUAACUCUCAGUAUCUUUACCAUCAUAGCCAUGCCUAAAGGCUAUAAUUGUUGCACCUUUAUUAUUUUCCAAUAUUUCAUUGCAAUGGAAAUGCUGUGUCGAGUGGCCCCAGAUUGAUUAUACUCUAUAAUAUGCAUAGCUCAUUUUGGCUACAAACCUCACCAGAACCUAUCUGCGGUAUUUCACAAACAUUGUCAUGUUGUGCUGGGAACACUAUAAUUAGUUACGCUUGACUUUAGUAGCGGUGAUAAUAUGUACCUGGAAUUAAAUAAGUGUUUUACUCUAUAAGAAGCUUCUUGAUUCAUUAUGGUUGCUUAUCUUUAGGUCUAAACACUGCUUGAACCUUGAGACCAUUUCUUGGCAGGAAUAGCAUGCGGAAUAAAUAGAAAUGCUACUUUGGCGUGUGUUCAAGGUGAUUUAUUUAUGUAAUGGUUCAGUUCCAGUUCAUGGGAAUAAAAAGCUAUAACAGCUUGCGAAACAGUCCACGUUGUUGAACCAGACCAUCGCGGUGCAGUGGACCCUCAGGAUCAUAUGUUGUCAUGUCACAAUUAUUGCAUCCCAGUUAUUCAUGAAUGUGUAAACACUGAUGGAAUUAUAACAGUGCCUUUCUUUA